rnacentral:rRNA from 1 species
AUGACGAACGGGUACCUCUUCCGGGAGUACAUCGGCGCGCAGUUCACCGGCGUCCGGUUCUCCGACGUGCCCGUCAACACCGGCGUCAGCUUCCACUUCAUCCUCGCCUUCGCCAUCGACUACCUGGCGAGCCAGCAGUCCAAGCCCACGCCGACCAACGGCGUUUUCAAGCCGUUCUGGGACACGGCCAACCUCUCCGCCGCCGCCAUGGCCGCCACCAAGGCGGCCCACCCUAACCUGAGCAUCAUGGUCAGCCUCGGCGGCGCCACCGUCCAGAACACCGGCGUCAACGCCACCUACGCGCCGACCUCCGUCGACUCGUGGGUGGCCAACGCCGUCUCCUCCCUCUCCACCAUGAUCAACCAGUACGGGCUGGAUGGCGUGGACGUGGACUACGAGCACUUCGGCACCGACGUCGACACGUUUGUGGAGGGGAUCGGCCGCCUGCUCACCCAGCUCAAGGCCCGCUUCCCCAACAUCCGCACCUCCAUCGCGCCAUACGAGCACCCCGUCAACCAGAAGUACUACCAGCCUCUCUGGAGGAAGUACUCCGGCGUCAUCGACUAUAUCAACUUCCAGUUCUACGGCUACGGCGCCAACACCAACGUCCAGUACUACGUGAAGUUCUACGACGAGCAGGCGCGCAACUACCCCGGCUCCGGCGGCACCAAGUUGCUCGCCAGCUUCAAGACCGGCGACGUCACCGGCCUGCUCUCGCCGGAUCAAGGCAUCAGCGGGGCCAAGGAGCUCCAGCGGCACAUGUAUCUGAGUUUCCUAUCAAUACAAUUCUAG